ensembl:lncRNA
CAUGUUUUUUGUACCUUUAUUUAACUAGGCAAGUCAGUUCAGAACAAAUUAUUAUUUUCAAUGAUGGGUUAGGAACAGUGGGUUGGUUAACUGUCUUGUUCAGGUGCAGAACGACAGAUUUGUACCUUUUCAGCUCGUGGAAUUCCGUCUUGCAACCUUUCGGUUACUAGUCCAAAGCUCUAACCACUAGGUUACCUGCCGCCCCUUAUAUUGUUAAACACUGUAGCAUGUUUACAUUAUUAGGUACUUUAGCAAGUUUACAUUAUUAGGUACUGUAGCAUGUUUACAUUAUUAGGUACUAUAGCAUGUUUACAUUAGAUACAGUAGCAUGUUUACAUUGUUAGAUAAUGUAGCAUGUUUACAUUAUUAGAUACAGUAGCAUGUUUACAUUAUUAGAUACAGUAGCAUGUUUACAUUAUUAGAUACUGUAACAUGUUUACAGUAUUAGAUACUGUAACAUGUUUACAUUAUUAGAUACUGUAGCAUGUUUACAUUAUUAGAUACUGUAGCAUGUUUACAUUAUUAGAUACUGUAGCAUGUUUACAUUAUUAGAUACUGUAACAUGUUUACAUUAUUAGAUACUGUAGCAUGUUUACAUUAUUAGAUACAGUAGCAUGUUUACAUUAGAUACAGUAGCGUGUUUACAUUAUUAGAUACUGUAGCAUGUUUACUGCAACGCCAUGAAACUUGACCUCUUCCAGUAUUAUGUUAACUGCAACAUUAUGAAGACAUUUCAUUACUCAUAUAGCUGAGGAUGUCAAAGACCACUUGUCUACACACAAUGUUCCCCCAAACCAGCUGUGCUUUUUCUAUAAUUUGGCAGUCACUACAAUAGUUAAAUCACAGCACGACUUUGCAUGCACCAUCACAGGUGUAGAAAAAUGUGAAUCCUCCAGUUUGGCCAAACCUGCCAGUCACUACAAUGUCCCAAACUGCAGGGAUAGGUAAUCCACUCGUCACAUGUUCCAAUCUCCAAUCUGUUUUAGGAUUAUCCCAAAAUGUCCUCUGCCGCACUUGGUUAUACUGUAUCUCUACCUAGCAGGCCUAUUCUCCCACUGUGGACUGACAUCCAGGCCUGAUCUUUACUGGAUAACCAAGUUAAAAAUUCAUUUUCCUUGUAAAAACACGUUUAUGAGUGGUUAAAAAUCCAGUAAGACUGUCUCUCACACAUUGACAUUCUAGAAAUUUUACUUAAAAAUUCUAGAAUAAGUUCUAGAACAUUCAAGUGGGACUUCAGAG